GAAUAAGAAGCGAACCCAGUAGUUUGACGGAGAGUCCUUUUACCCUAAAUACAAAUUAGGCAUUAUCGCUUGCACAUGGGACCGAUGAACGACAAGAGACGUGUGAUCUCUCGUUUUAACGUCCGAAUCGUCGAUGUACACGACCUGUAGAACACUAUAUCCGAGUCUACAAAUUAUAGCCGUGGCCGAAGAUUUUGAUCGUUCGAUGUCGCAUUUCUCCCCGCAACUCUACCUUCCAUCGUUACGACCGUGCUCACGUAUCCUCUUAGUGCGUCAACCCUUUCGUGAACGAAUUAAUUCUGUUUUUUCUUAAGACUUUGUAGUUGAUCUACUUUUCCCAUAUGUGCGGUAACUACGCAGCCUCCAACAUUUAUGGAAAGCAUUGAAAAAUACUACAUGGAACCUGUUCAAUAAUGGAUGACGAAAGAAAAAUGUCCAUCGACGUUUCUUGAAACAAAAAACAAAAAAAAAUAUAUAUAUAUGACUUCUUUUUAUUCGGAUGCGGAUAUCUUGACAUUUUUCCCCCAAAAACGCAUCGACGAGAUAUAAUCUAAGUUACACACGUGCAAGUUUGAACAUUACUGGACUUUAAUUCAUGCUUUAGCGAAUUAUUCUCUUCGAUUGACACGUUCAAUGCCGGAUGGGUCGCUGGGUGGAUUCUAUGUUUUCAAUUGUGGUGGUAGAAUUUUCUCCAUCCGUUCCAUAUGGCACUCAACGUGUCGAUUAACCAUAAAUCCAUUUAAAAGUGAGAUAAAUAUAUUAAUUUGUAAAGGCCCAUAAUGUUACUACUAAAGUAAUUAAGUACAAGAAAUUGUACCCGACGUAUGUGUCUUAAUUACAUUCUGGAUGUUGUGAAUGAGAGUAGCAGGUUUGGAACAAAACAAAUUGUUGCAUGAAAUAUUUUUAUUAAUUCCUAUAAAUUGUAUUGACAAUUGGAGAUUGAAAAAGCAAAAAAAAAAAAAAAAAAAUU